CGAUUGGAUAGUGCAGGAAACUGCAUGAAACUCGUCUGCAAUCCCGGCAUCGCUGUUCGCUCCGUUUUGGACGGGCAGCGUGGCGACUUCAAUUCUGCCUUCGGGCAGCUUCAAC
rnacentral:ncRNA from 1 species